ACUGCCAAGGAUGGCAGUGGUUUCAUAUAGUAGCGAUGUUUUGGCUCUGCCAAAACUCGCCUUCAACUGACGUACAUGGAUGUACAACAGUUGAAGAUG
rnacentral:sRNA from 1 species